rnacentral:misc_RNA from 1 species
AAGUCGUAACAAGGUUUCCGUAGGUGAACCUGCGGAAGGAUCAUUAUUGAAUCUUCUUAACCUUCUGUUUCUUUGAGAAACGUGAAGAACCCCUUUGUGCACUUGACAUUUGACGCUGCUUUCCCCGAUUUCGGUCGGGGGAAGAGCAAAUUAAAACAACUUUACUAUUUUCCACAUCAUGACUUAACCUAAAAUAAAACAAAACUUUCAACAACGGAUCUCUUGGCUU